rnacentral:sRNA from 1 species
UUUUAGCCCCGAUAGCAGUAAAAAUCCUUGUGAGCCGGGGUUCGGCUCACAAGAUUGAAACGGAAAGCGGGACGAUAC